ensembl:miRNA gga-mir-6674 gga-mir-6674
UGCUUAGGUAAUCACCAUGCAAGGCUCAGUGGGAGAGGCUCUCACUGGCUCAUGGUCAGAAGAGGAAGCCAGGUGUCUGUGGCAGCCUCACCCCUGUGUGCCUUCUUUCA